rnacentral:rRNA from 1 species
CGCAACCCUUGUCCUUAGUUACCAGCACGGUUAUGGUGGGCACUCUAAGGAGACUGCCGGUGACAAACCGGAGGAAGGUGGGGAGUGACGUCAAGUCAUCAUGCCCUUACGGCCUGGGCUACACACGUGCUACAAUGGUCGGUACAAAGGGUUGCCAAGCCGCGAGGUGGAGCUAAUCCCAUAAAACCGAUCGUAGUCCGGAUCGCAGUCUGCAACUCGACUGCGUGAAGUCGGAAUCGCUAGUAAUCGUGAAUCAGAAUGUCACGGUGAAUACGUUCCCGGGCCUU